rnacentral:misc_RNA from 1 species
UGGUAUGGAAACUCGCCAAGUGAGAACUUUCAAAUUCAGAGAAACUCCGGAAUUAAUAAAAGGGGGCAAUCCUGAGCCAAAUCUUGUUUUCUGAAAGCAAAAGUUCAGAAAGUGAAAAAAAAAAGGGAUAGGUGCAGAGACUCAAUGGAAGCUGUUCUAACAAAUGGAGUUGGUUGCGGUAGUAGAGAAGUCUUUCCAUCAAAAAUUCAGAAAAAUUCAUAAGUAUUAAGUUAGUUAAGGAUGAGGUGCAUAUAUAUAAUAUAUAUGUAGUCAAUCGUAUAUUAAACGAUUAAUGACAGACCGAAUGAAUUUAUGUUUUUUCUAUGAAAAAAAAAAAGAAUUGGUGUGAAUAGAUUCUACGUUGAGGAAAGAAUCGAAUAUUCAUUGAUCAAAUGAUUCACUCCAUAGUCUGAUAAAUCUUUUCAAGAACUGAUUAAUUAGAUGAGAAUAAAGAUAGAGUCCCAUUCUACAUGUCAAUGCCGGCAGUAAUGAAAUUUAUAGUUAAGAGGAAAAUCCGUCGACUUUAAAAAUCGUGAGGGUUCAAGUCCCUCUAUCCCCAACUAAACUAUCUAUUUAUCUAUCCUUCUUUUUGUUAUCGGUUCAAAAUUCCUUAUCCAUUCACUUUAUUCUCUUAGAAUUGAUCGGUGCGGAAAUGCCCUUUUUUCUUAUCAAUGAUAUACAUACAAAUGAACAUCCUUAAGCAAGAAAUACUCAUUUGAAUGAUUUACAAUCUAUUAAUUACUAAUACGGAAACUCCCAAAGUCCUCUUUUUUAAGAUCCAAGCCAAGCAAUUUAAGUAUCUAAAUAAAACUUUGGAAUUCCCUCUCCUUCUUUUAAUUGACACAGCCCCCAUUUUCGAGUAAAAUGAGGAUGCUAUGUUGCGACUGGUCGGGAUAGCUCAGCUGGUAGAGCAGAGGACUGAAAAUCCUCGUGUC